GUGUUAUAUGAAAGAGAGACAGUUAGCACUUCCCUUGACAAGGAUGGAAGAGAUCCAGUGGCCUUUACAACACAUAUACAGUUAACGCACUGCCACCUUCUUAGUUUUUAAGACUGUUUCACUCU